UGUCCCAGGGAAAACUGAGGUGUCCCAGGGAAAGCUGAGGUGUCCCAAGGAAUGCUGAGGUGUCCCAAGGAAUGCUGAGGUGUCCCAGGGAAAGCUGAGGUGUCCCAAGGAAUGCUGAGGUGUCCCAAGGAAUGCUGAGGUGUCCCAGGGAAAGCUGAGGUGUCCCAGGGAAUGCUGAGGUGUCCCAGGGAAAGCUGAGGUCCCAGGGAACACUGAGGCAUUCCCUGCCCGGCGCACUCGGCAGCACAUCCCUGAUGUGGUGCAGAAAAAGGAAAGUUCUGGGAUAGUGUGAGGAUGUUUCUGGAAUUGGGAUGGGUGCCGAUCACACCAUGGAGUCACGGGGGAUUUGGCUUGGAAGGGACCACAAAGAUCUUUUACAGGCUGCGGUCUGAUCCCACAGCAAGGAACAUCCCACAGUGCCUCCCCACCCUAUGGACAGCAGGGAUGUUUUCCACAGCUCCUGCUCAGGAAUGGGAACGGCUGCUGGGAGCUCUGGCAGCAGCACCUGGACACCGGGUAAGAACAGCAGUGGGACUGGUUUGGCUGCUGCUGGAUGUGGAUUUCUCCUUUCAGGAUGUUCCUCUGACUGAUCCUUUCACAUCAGUGUUCCAGGACACAUUUGAGGGCAAUUCCAAGAAUUUCAAAGCAGUUGGAAAACAGUGAGGAAAAACUGCGAACCUGAUCCAUUUCUAGUAAUUCCAAACUUCUCCCACAACACCAUCUUAGAGGAAACCUGGGUAAGGGAUAAAGAUGCAGAGGAACAACUGUUGUAAACCUCCCUGGAUUUCUGACACAGCAAACCUUCCAGUAAUCCCAGCUGAUGGCUCUGAGGAACUGUGGGAUCAUACUGAUUUCCAGGAAAGCAAAACAAGAGAUGAGGGAACAGACUUCCAAUUGAUAGUGAUUUGAUGAACACAGGAAUGAUUCUUUUAUGUUUGAUGCUCCCCUUUAUAUUCCUGGAAUAAUUUUAAAUUGUUCCUUUAUAAUCUAAAUUUGGGAAUUUAAAUUUAAGAGGGAACGAUGCAAAAUUAAUGCAGGGAGAGACUGUGGAAUCAUCAUGGAAGGGUUUGGGUUGGAAGCCUCAUCUCUGAGCCUCUCCUGGGCUGGCUCCUGCUCUUCAGCCACUGCUUGCAGGUGGACAUGGAAGUGGUGUAGAUGCACAGGGAAUGCUGGUUGGUUUUCCCUGCCUAUGGAAAUCUGGUCAUUAAAAUGACCCCUGAUUGACCUCUUCCAGCGGGGAGAUAUUUAAACAUGAGGUGCCAAAAAGAACUGGAGCUUCUGCACAAUGAAAUCUGCAAGAAUCCAACUUAAAAUCCCCCCUGGAUUGUCACAGGUGCAACUUCCAUGGACUGGUCACCUUGGCCAGGAGUGUCCAAUCCUGCUGGAAAUGCACUGCACCAGGAUGUCAUCUUCAUUUUAGGCAGCACAGGAACCUUUCCCUUGCCCAGAGGAGCAGCCAGUGCCUCCCUUAGUCCACAGAUCUCCAGGAUGGACCACAGAAAAAUAACAGGAAUAUGGAAAUCCCCCCUACUGGGAGUUUGUGGUCCUCUGGAUUAGGUUUUGGAUUUAUAAUGUUAAAGGGGGGCUGUAGGAGUUUUUCUCUCUGUCCUGUUCAUUAUUGUUCUCACUGCUCUUGUUUCUCUCACUGUCAUUAUGUGUUGUCAUUAACAUAAAAUUAUUGUAUUUGU